AUCCUUAUAUGUUGUUGUAACUUCCAUGGAACAAUGUCGCUUGGGAACAGGGCUCUAUUGAUCUUGCUUUCACACAGUAAGGCUCAUGGGCAGUCCCAUUCUCAGCUUUGUUCAACACCCAUGGCUUCAACCCUCCAAGGCCAUGAGCAACCUCCACGAGUGAGGACCAUAAACCUGUGACCACCAGCGCAUCAGAACAACUCAGAAGGUAUAUCUCAGCCCAUGCUCUCUUACUUUCCAUGUUCCUCGGGGUUUUUUGGUAGUCCUUGUAGCUCGGCUUGUGAACGCUGAUUAUCUCUCCCAUCACUGUUGGGUUUUCCCAAUAUACGUCCCUGAUACUCUUAAAAUACCCUGGAGAAGAAGAUGAGAUAAACACUGCCUUUGAUUUUCGGUUCAGAACUUGGCUUGAAGGGAGAUUUCUUUGUUUGUCAACUUCAGGAAGCAGCUUAUGUCUAGUUCCACAAGCUAAAAUCUGAUCUAUCAAAUGCUGGAACUGUUCAUUUCCAGACUCAGAGACCCCAAUAUAGAUUCCUAUUCUUUGAUCAGCCUUAGCAAGAUAUGCGUUAUAGUAUCGUGUAAUGAGACCCCAGACAACAUUAGUUGGGUGAAAGAGAUACUGACUUAAGAAGUGAAAAGCAGUAUCUUUU